GUUUACAGGCAGCGGCUGUAAAGGUCUUUGUUGCUGUGGCUGCCAUGUUAAUGACCCAGCUUGGGGCGCUGCCGCCGCCGCCGUCGGCCGCUUCUUCCAAAGAAAACAAAUCAAAAGCCUUCAUUCCGUUCCUGAGGAAGAAACAGUAUCCUGAAGGAUUCCCCCAAAGCUGGACAAUUAGGUAAAUAUUUUUGCUCAAAAAACAUGCCAUUUGGUGCCACUUUCCUUGAUAAAUGAUCUUUCCCCUGCCAAAAAGGAAGCCAAAAACAUGUAACCUUUCUCCUGAGAUAGAAUAAUAAUGAGUGGAAAGAUACAAUAAGGUUUUUAUAGUGUUAAAACAUUUAAGCUUGAUGUUAUUAAGCUUUUUCCAUCAUAUUUUUAACCUUUAUACCUUUCUAAAAAAAAAAAAAGAACUCAGGCUAACCUCUCUUCUCCUCUUUUUAAAAAAAUUACCAUGCUAUUGAGGAAGGAAAUAAGAGAGUUGG
rnacentral:lncRNA from 1 species